AAAAACAAAUACUAGUCAGUAAUAUAACGCAGUGAAACAAACAAAGUAAUACAACAGACAAACAAACAAAAAAUAGCCACACAGGCAAUUUACUUAAUUACUCAAACUAUAACACGUUAAUAUAUUAUUUUUAUACAGUCUUUUAAAACAAGCCAAUGUAGUAGAUAUUUUAAUACAAUCUAAACAAUCAUUCCACA